rfam:Acidobacteria bacterium RIFCSPLOWO2_02_FTLL_68_18 rifcsplowo2_02_scaffold_981, whole genome shotgun sequence.
UAACCGGUGGAAGUCCGGUCGUGGUAAUCGCCAGAGAGCCACGUAGCAGGCUGCCGCUGCACCUGGGCGACCGGAUGUGGUGAAGCGCAGUAUCCUCCUGCGAAAGGAGCGCAACCCCGUAGUCCGUACCAUGA